rnacentral:rRNA from 1 species
CCUACGGGAGGCAGCAGUGAGGAAUAUUGGACAAUGGAGGCAACUCUGAUCCAGCCAUGCCGCGUGCAGGAAGACUGCCCUAUGGGUUGUAAACUGCUUUUAUAUAGGAAGAAACCUUGGUACGUGUACCAAGCUGACGGUACUAUAAGAAUAAGGAUCGGCUAACUCCGUGCCAGCAGCCGCGGUAAUACGGAGGAUCCAAGCGUUAUCCGGAAUCAUUGGGUUUAAAGGGUCCGUAGGUGGAUAAUUAAGUCAGAGGUGAAAUCUUGCAGCUCAACUGUAAAAUUGCCUUUGAUACUGGUUAUCUUGAGUUAUUAUGAAGUAGUUAGAAUAUGUAGUGUAGCGGUGAAAUGCAUAGAUAUUACAUAGAAUACCAAUUGCGAAGGCAGAUUACUAAUAAUCAACUGACACUGAUGGACGAAAGCGUGGGUAGCGAACAGGAUUAGAUACCCUGGUAGUCCACGCCGUAAACGAUGGUUACUAGCUGUUUGGACCUUGUGUCUGAGUGGCUAAGCGAAAGUGAUAAGUAACCCACCUGGGGAGUACGUUCGCAAGAAUGAAACUCAAAUGAAUUGACGG